rnacentral:rRNA from 1 species
UACGUAGGCAGCGAGCGUUGUUCGGAGUUACUGGGCGUAAAGGGUGUGUAGGCGGUUUUCUUAAGUUUGGUGAUGAAAUCUCCCGGCUCAACCGGGAGGUGCGCCGAAAACUGGGAGACUAGAGUGCGGGAUGGGAGAGUAGAAUUCCUGGUGUAGCGGUGAAAUGCGUAGAUAUCAGGAGGAAUACCGGUGGUGUAGACGGCUCUCUGGACCGCCACUGACGCUGAGACACGAAAGCGUGGGUAGCAAAUAGG